rnacentral:rRNA from 1 species
UACGGGGGGAGCAAGCGUUGUUCGGAUUUACUGGGCGUAAAGGGCGCGUAGGCGGCCAGCACAAGUCAGUUGUGAAAUCUCCGAGCUUAACUCGGAACGGUCAACUGAUACUGUGCGGCUAGAGUGCGGAAGGGGCAACUGGAAUUCUUGGUGUAGCGGUGAAAUGCGUAGAUAUCAAGAGGAACACCUGCGGCGAAGGCGGGUUGCUGGGCCGACACUGACGCUGAGGCGCGAAAGCCAAGGGAGCGAACGGG